rnacentral:rRNA from 1 species
AACGCGAAGAACCUUACCUACUCUUGAAUCCACGGAAUCUGUCAGAAAUGAUGGAGUGCCUUCGGGACCCGUGAGACAGGUGCUGCAUGGCUGUCGUCAGCUCGUGUCGUGAGAUGUUGGGUUAAGUCCCGUAACGAGCGCAACCCUUGUCCUUAGUUACCAGCGAGUAAAGUCGGGGACUUUAAGGAGACUGCCGGUGAUAAACCGGAGGAAGGUGGGGAUGACGUCAAGUCCUCAUGGCCCUUACGAGUAGGGCUACACACGUGCUACAAUGGCCGGUACAAAGGGAAGCCAACCUGCAAAGGGGAGCAAACCUCAAAAAGCCGGUCGUAGUCCGGAUUGGAGUCUGCAACUCGACUCCAUGAAGUUGGAAUCGCUAGUAAUCGCGGAUCAGCACGCCGCGGUGAAUACGUUCCCGGGCCUUGUACACACCGGAGUA